CGUGUCGCUGGCGGCCGCCGGUCCGGUA
rnacentral:sRNA from 1 species